rnacentral:ribozyme from 1 species
GGUGAUAAAAACGAGGAUGAAGUGCGAUCCCGUGUUGGGUGAAAGGUGCCAAAGCAAUGAUUGUUUGGAGACCCCCUUUUUUAAUUUUUACAGCUUUGGAAGUAAACAAAAAGAAAGAAAAU